UACGUAGGCAGCAAGCGUUGUUCGGAAUUACUGGGCGUAAAGAGCGUGUAGGCGGUGUUCUAAGUUUGUCGUGAAAUCUCCCGGCUUAACUGGGAGGGUGCGGCGAAAACUGGAAUGCUAGAGGAUGGGAGAGGUAAGCGGAAUUCCUGGUGUAGAGGUGGAAUUCGUAGAUAUUAGGAAGAACACCAGUGGCGAAGGCGGCUUACUGGUCCGGAACUGACGCUGAGGUGCGAAAGCGUGGGGAGCAAACAGG
rnacentral:rRNA from 1 species